CAGCUAGUUGGGGGGUAACGGCCCACCAAGGCGACGAUGGCUAGGGGAGCUGAGAGGCUGGUCCCCCACACGGGCACUGAGAUACGGGCCCGACUCCUACGGGAGGCAGCAGUAGGGAAUAUUGGGCAAUGGGCGAGAGCCUGACCCAGCCAUGCCGCGUGCAGGAUGAAGGCUUUCUGAGUCGUAAACUGCUUUUGCCAGGGAAGAAAAAAGGGCGUGCGCGCUCUACUGACGGUACCUGGUGAAUAAGCACCGGCUAACUCCGUGCCAGCAGCCGCGGUAAUACGGAGGGUGCAAGCGUUGUCCGGAUUUAUUGGGUUUAAAGGGUGCGUAGGCGGUUCUUUAAGUCCGGGGUGAAAGCCCACUGCUCAACAGUGGAACUGCCCUGGAAACUGGCGAACUUGAGUACAGACGAGGGUGGCGGAAUGGAUGCUGUAGCGGUGAAAUGCAUAGAUAGCAUCCAGAACCCCGAUUGCGAAGGCAGCUGCCUAGACUGUAACUGACGCUGAGGCACGAAAGCGUGGGGAGCGAACAGGAUUAGAUACCCUGGUAGUCCACGCCGUAAACGAUGGAUACUCGCUGGUGGCGAUAGACGGUCACUGGCUUAGCGAAAGCGUUAAGUAUCCCACCUGGGGAGUACGCUCGCAA
rnacentral:rRNA from 1 species